rnacentral:lncRNA from 1 species
CUGUUGCAGGCAGCUUCGGCGCAGGUAGCGCUUGACGCCAGGGACAAAUUCCUCGAAGAACCAGCCCCGAAGAAGCGGGCGACUGAGCCAGGCAUCCGGACUGUAGCGGCGCGGGGCCUGCGACCGGGGACUCAGCCUCACCAUAGAUGCGCUGGCUAGAGAUGCCAUGGCGCUUCUGCCAGCGCCAGAACCAGCCGUGGCUAGCCUUGAAGGUACACUCGGGGCCGUAGAUCUGGCGAGCAAAGGCCUCAGCCUGCGCUUGGAUAACUGGCCCGGAUAGCGGCACACCGUGCUGGCGCAAGGUGAGGAACCACGAGUAGACGGCGCGGUCGAUCUCCUCCUCGUUGGCCAGACGCAUCUUCUUGCGCUGCGUGCCCACUUCUCCACCCAGCUGGUCCAAAAACCAGCGCAGCUUGGGCUCGUCCUUGAGCCAGCCGCGCAGAGUGCCGCCUGGCACGCCGAAGUCGCGGCACACGCUGGCCUGCCGCUCACCGCCCUUGACGCGCUCGAUGGCUUGCAGCUUGUCUUUGAU